rnacentral:rRNA from 1 species
AGGACGAACGCUGGCGGCGUGCCUAAUGCAUGCAAGUCGUACGCAUCGUGCUUGCACGAUGAGUGGCGCACGGCUGAGUAACACGUGGGUAUGUGCCCUGGGGUGGGGGAUAACUGCGCGAAAGCGCCGCUAAUCCCGCAUACGCUCGUCGCAAGACGAGGAAAGCAGCAAUGCGCCCUUGGAGCAGCCUGCGGCCCAUCAGGUCGUUGGUGUGGUAACGGCGCACCAAGCCAGUGACGGGUAGCUGGUCUGUGAGGACAACCAGCCAGACUGGGACUGAGACACGGCCCAGACUCCUACGGGAGGCAGCAGCAAGGAAUUUUCCGCAAUGGGCGCAAGCCUGACGGAGCAACGCCGCGUGCGGGAUGACGGCCUUCGGGUUGUAAACCGCGUUUGGGGGGAUGGACAUCGACCGUACCCUCCGAAUCAGGCUCGGCUAACUCUGUGCCAGCAGCCGC